GUUUUGAUGGCGUGGGUUGGCAGGCUCCGUGCUCGUGCAUCGAACUGUCGACUGCCCAUCGUCCUCAGUCUAUUCCCCGAGUGCAGUCAUUGCCUCGCGGGUUGUCUCGGUAUCCUGUGUUGCUUACCUACGGAAUGGAAUUCGACCGUAUCGUUGCCCCUAUCCGCCCGAUGCCCUCUGUGGGUGUGGGGUGGACGUCAGGCACGCUACGUGUUCCUAGCAUGCCUCGCCUUGUUGCGGGGCUGCUUAGGCCCACGGAGACGUUGCCCGUUCUCUCGGAUGCGGAACGUCAUGCAUGGGUGCGGGGUCUCGGCCUCUGCUUGCCCAAGCUACGCAUUUGUCCCUUGACACGAACGACUGCCGCGGCCGUCUUGAUCCCGUCGUAGCCUACGUGCCGCCCGGGGCUCAUGCGGCCGUCGGCGUC
rnacentral:misc_RNA from 1 species